UACGUAGGCGGAAAAUUAAGUCAGUAGUGAAAUCCCACAGCUUAACUGUGGAACUGUUAUUGAUACUGGUUUUCUUGAAUAUAGUUGAGGUAGGCGGAAUGUGUAAUGUAGCGGUGAAAUGCUUAGAUAUUACACAGAACACCGAUUGCGAAGGCAGCCUACUAAACUAUGAUUGACGCUGAGGUACGAAAGCGUGGGGAGAGAACAGGAUUAGAUACCCUGGUAGUCC
rnacentral:rRNA from 1 species